UCCCUGAAGGUCCAGUGGUUAGGAUUCAGCUCUUUCACUGCCAUAGCCCAGGUUCAAUCCCUGGUUGGGGAA
rnacentral:tRNA from 1 species